rnacentral:lncRNA from 1 species
AUUUUUUUAUUUUACAGUAAUAUAAGUUAAAAUAUAUAUUUUUAUAAUAUUAAUACAUACCCCAAAGCUUUAGACUAUGGAAACCAGAAAUUUAUUUAUAAAUAUUAUAGAACUGUGAUUAAUGAUUGUGUCUGAUCUCAGGAGAAGGGAACAAAAGAGCCAUUCUACAGUACAAAGAAGCACAAGGUCAAUGAGACCAACUAAUCCCAAUGGGGUUGAUGAAAAUCUGCACAGUGCCAAGGAGCACAAGGUCAAAAGGGACCAAACCAAUUCAGUAUGGCAACUUCCUGUAGUCUUGGCUGCAAAUGGAUCCUCUUCCCAAGAGAAAGUCCCACUCCCACUGCCUGGGGAGGCCCUAAUUUUCUGUAGCCUCUGGCUUGGUCAUCAUAGUUGAGGUCACUGUUCUCCCUGCCAACUGAUUGGUAAGUAGCCAGUCUCUCCAUCUGUCUGAGCUUCAUGGAAAACACAAGUGCUUGCAGGCUUUCCAUACUAUCUCUUAUCCUAAGUUUGCUUUCUCUCCUUCAUAUUCUCUCCUACCUGCCCCCUUCACUACUUCCUCUUUUUCCCAAACUCCAUUCCUAGAAUCACAUCUGUUUUCCAGGCGAUGAGCACUCUCUGUGGAUAGAAAAGGCGAGGUUUGGGAGGGACAGAAGUGAUCAGGUGUUGGUAGAAAAUAGGAUGUCUAUUCAUAUUUGUCUUGAGGACUGACCAAAAUCAGUAAAUCAGUCACUGAGUUGAGAGUGCUUAUCAUUAAAGAAAGAAGGCAAACUUAUUUAAUUUUCUGUGUUUUUCCCAUUUCUCUUUUCUUUUUCUUACUGUUACCCUCUUAAUUUUUUUUCUAAUCCAUAAUUUAUUAGUCUUCAGUCUGCUAUUUCUCUAUAAAAAGUGAGGAGAUUUUAAAAAAUAAUUUUUAGCUUUGGAAUUUUACAUUAUCAACCUAUGAUUUCAUUUACCAAUUUGGACUUUUCCUUAAGAUCUCUCCCUUUAGAAAGAAAUUAUUGCAAAUUCUAUUGCAGAUCAUUUGUCAGACUCACUAAUAUUCUGGUUAGCAUUGCUAUAUAUUUUUAAAAUCCUUAAUUAUCUAUCUUAGUAUCAAUUUUAAGACAGAAAAGCUAAGAUAUUGUGCCCAAGUGACUUGUCCAGAGUCACAGAGUUAGGAAAUAUCUGAGGUCUGAUUUAAACCCAGGAUCUCUUGAUUCCAGGCCUGGCACUAAUGUUGCUGUACUUUAGGUUUACUUUCGCCAAAAUAAGGGUAUACAGACAUCAGACUCCUAGAAAUGCAGUGAAGAAAAAUCCAAUGUUAUGAUUAAGUUCCUUGUAGAAAGAAACUACUAUAUCCAUACCACACCAAACAAGUGAUAUUUAUCCAUACUACCUGUGACACUCUUCUCUCAAAACAGUUGUUUAGUCAUUUUUAGUUGUGUUUGACUUUGUGACCCCAUUUGGGGUUUUCUUGGCAAAGAUACUAGAGUGAUUUGCCAUUAUCUUCUCCAACUCAUUUUACAGAUGAGGAAACUGAGGCAAACCGAGUUAAGUGACUUGCCCAGGGUCACACAGCUAGUAAUUGUCUGAGGCCAGAUUUGAAUUAAAGAAGAGGAGUCUUCCUGACUCCAGGUCUCAUACUUUAUCUAUUGCACCACCUAGUAAUCUUAUACCUGAUAUGUACUCAAAAGAGUAUCUGUAGAUGUAACUUUUUUUCCCUUGGCACAUUAAUAUAAAGCAAGGACAUCUGAUCAAAUAACAAAGGAAGAGGAUUUACAAUAUAACAUUCUCUUCAUAAAUAUGUGUGCAUUCCCAAAUGACAACUUUGUUUUAUGGAACCCCAGAUUUGGAACUUGCUUUCAAGAAACUCUCAGAUUGGACCCUGUCCCAAAUGAAACAACCUUGGACAGGAGUGGGGGAUGUAGCAAAGCAUUAAGAAUCCUUUUAUCUUCUAAGUUUAUCUUAUUGCUUUGAGGUAGCUCUGAAACCUUUUCCCCUAUUGCCCAGGUAAGUCAAUCAGUUGCCAUUUCUUUCCUGUAUUCCCUAAAGUAUACAUAAGACUCCAAGUUCUCUAGUUUGAAGGAAAAUUCCCAUUCCUGGUAUUUUCCUUUCAGAAUCUCCAAGCUUGGAUCCUAUGUGGUAGCCAUAAUAGCCUUGUCUCCUUUGUCCUGAUUAAAAAUAUGAUUUUUUGUAACUGCUUUGGUGGUUCUGUGAUUUUUCAGGUUGACACACAAAUAGGCAUCAUUUACUAGAAGCUUAUCUUGAUGAGUAUAUAAUACAGAAAGAGGGACAAUUCUCCUUGCUAAAUGCAACAUCUUUGCUAUAUACCUAUUGUCCUGUUGGGCUUGCUUGGUUUUCUGCUCACUGGGCAUGUCAACUCUAUUGAAAACAUCACUUUGCUGGACUGCCUGUUCCUGACUAGGAACAUGACUACAGGGCACUCCUUUCUUCAAAGUCAACUCAACAAUCUUAGCUUCAGCCUGUUAGAGGAGAGUGACUAAAACCUAACCCUCCUAAGAUCAAACUGGUAGCUCUUUAAUUAUAGCCAAAACAUCUCGCCAACAAAAGUCAUACAGAAUGCUUCCAGGCUAUUACUUUCCAUUUGUCUCAGGAUGGCUAUCAAAGCCUUCUUUUACAGAUAACAACCUAGCUUAGGGUUCAACUAUGUUGACACUACCAAGAACCUCUUUAGCUUAAUAGAGUCAAAUGAAUCUAGGUCAAAAGGAAAGGCAGACCAAGGAGAGAAGGCCAGUGUUUCUAGUCUAAAUUCCUGGCUUUUAUAAUGCCUUUCAGUGAGUAGCAAAUCCUGAAUGCACUCAAGUUGAAUUUUGGCUGGUGGAAACCUCAGCUUCCCUAUCUAUCUAUCUAUCUAUCUAUCUAUCAAAAACAUUUGUAAAGAACUUUUCAUACACCAUCUCAUUUAACUGACAUAGAAACCCUGAUACUACAGAUACAUUAUCAGAUUCUUCAUUAUACAGAAAUGGAAAUUCAAGCUCAAAGAAAUUGUAAUUUACUUAGGGUCACCCUGCUAGUAAAUGCCAGAGGCAGUAUUUGUGGGUUUUCUUGAUUUCAACUCCAACUCACUUUUGUUUGUAUGUUUGAUAAAGCACAUGACAGAAUGUACAUGAUCUCCAGGUUGCUCCUGAUGUUGUACCUACAGGGUUCCACAGUCCAAGAUGUUUAGUUUAAGUUGGAACAAAGACUGAUCCUGACAUAGGAUCACUAUGCCUUUCCAUAGAUCCAUAUCAUGGUGUUUGGCCAGAUUUCUGGGAUUGCCUGUUUCUCAACUUUUUGCCUAAGCCUGAGUCAGCCAAUCAUUUCCUAGAGAAGCAUGGUAAUUCUCAGCAAGAGAACUGGGGAGAUUCUAAAAGCCUGACGGCUUAAAAUCAGGAAAGAAUUAUGAGACUGAAGAAGAUAGAAAUAAAAGGGGUGAGGGAAGAAAGGAAUGAUGUUGG